rnacentral:rRNA from 1 species
GCAGUGUACCCGCGGCAAGACGGAAAGACCCCGUGAACCUUUACUAUAGCUUGACACUGAACAUUGAGCCUUGAUGUGUAGGAUAGGUGGGAGGCUUUGAAGUGUGGACGCCAGUCUGCAUGGAGCCGACCUUGAAAUACCACCCUUUAAUGUUUGAUGUUCUAACGUGGACCCGUAAUCCGGGUUGCGGACAGUGUCUGGUGGGUAGUUUGACUGGGGCGGUCUCCUCCUAAAGAGUAACGGAGGAGCACGAAGGUUGGCUAAUCCUGGUCGGACAUCAGGAGGUUAGUGCAAUGGCAUAAGCCAGCUUGACUGCGAGCGUGACGGCGCGAGCAGGUGCGAAAGCAGGUCAUAGUGAUCCGGUGGUUCUGAAUGGAAGGGCCAUCGCUCAACGGAUAAAAGGUACUCCGGGGAUAACAGGCUGAUACCGCCCAAGAGUUCAUAUCGACGGCGGUGUUUGGCACCUCGAUGUCGGCUCAUCACAUCCUGGGGCUGAAGUAGGUCCCAAGGGUAUGGCUGUUCGCCAUUUAAAGUGGUACGCGAGCUGGGUUUAGAACGUCGUGAGACAGUUCGGUCCCUAUCUGCCGUGGGCGCUGGAGAACUGAGGGGGGCUGCUCCUAGUACGAGAGGACCGGAGUGGACGCAUCACUGGUGUUCGGGUUGUCAUGCCAAUGGCACUGCCCGGUAGCUAAAUGCGGAAGAGAUAAGUGCUGAAAGCAUCUAAGCACGAAACUUGCCCCGAGAUGAGUUCUCCCUGAGACUUAGAGUCUCCUGAAGGAACGUUGAAGACGACGACGUUGAUAGGCCGGGUGUGUAAGCGCAGCGAUGCGUUGAGCUAACCGGUACUAAUGAACCGUGAGGCUUAACCUUACAACGCCGAAG